ACGUACACUGUACACUGUACAGGUAUGGUCUGUGUGCUAGUGUAUGGUCAAGUAACCUAGGCCGGGUUCACCGGCUCGGAGAGGAACUUGAAGUUGGAACGGUUUGGGCAAACUGCUGGUUAAUCAGAUGCCUGGAGAUGCCCUUUGGUGGGUGUAAAGAAUCUGGUAGCGGACGGGAAGGGACUGUUCACUCCCUUGAAGCGUUUACACAAGAAACAACAGUCUGUAUAAAAUACAAGGAUUAAACUCAGCAGGGAAAUUUAAACUGUUUUGGUGUCAGAAUAUACUCACGUUUCACAACUUUUAAAUGAAUAAAUAAAAAGAUCACCCCCCCCCCAAAAGAAAAAAAGAUUUA